rnacentral:rRNA from 1 species
AGCGAACGCUGGCGGCAGGCUUAACACAUGCAAGUCGAGCGCCCGUAGCAAUACGGGAGCGGCAGACGGGAGAGUAACGCGUGGGAACGUACCCUUCGGUUCGGAAUAACCCAGGGAAACUUGGGCUAAUACCGGAUACGUCCGAAAGGAGAAAGAUUUAUCGCCGAGGGAUCGGCCCGCGUCCGAUUAGCUAGUUGGUGAGGUAAUGGCGUCACCAAGGCGACGAUCGGUAGCUGGUCUGAGAGGAUGAUCAGCCUCACUGGGACUGAGACACGGCCCAGACUCCUACGGGAGGCAGCAGUGGGGAAUAUUGGACAAUGGGCGCAAGCCUGAUCCAGCCAUGCCGCGUGGGUGAUGAAGGCCUUAGGGUUGUAAAGCCCUUUCG